GACGAACGCUGGCGGCGUGCUUAACACAUGCAAGUCGAACGGAAAGGCCCUGCUUUUGUGGGGUGCUCGAGUGGCUAACGGGUUAGUAACACGUUAGUAACCUGCCCUUGACUUUGGGAUAACUUCAUGAAACUGUGGCUAAUACCUGAUAGGAGCUCCUGCUGCAUGGUUGGGGUUGGAAAGUUUCGGCGGUUGGGGAUGGACUCGCGGCUUAUCAGCUUGUUGGUGGGGUAGUGGCUUACCAAGGCUUUGACGGGUAGCCGGCCUGAGAGGGUGACCGGCAACAUUGGGAAUGAGAUACGGCCCAGAAUACUACGGGAGGCAGCAGUGGGGAAUAUUGCAAAAUGGGCGGAAGCCUGAUGCAGCAACGACGAGUGCGGGAUGAAGGCCUUCGGGUUGUAAAACGCUUUCGCCUGUGACGAAGCGUGAGUGACGGUAAUGGGUAAAGAAGCACCGGCUAAAUACGUG
rnacentral:rRNA from 1 species